rnacentral:rRNA from 1 species
UACAUGGGGUGCAAACGUUGCUCGGAAUUAUUGGGCGUAAAGGGCUCGUAGGCGGUCUGUCGCGUCGGGAGUGAAAACUCGGGGCUUAACUCCGAGCCUGCUUCUGAUACGGGCAGACUAGAGGUAUGCAGGGGAGAAUGGAAUUCCUGGUGUAGCGGUGAAAUGCGCAGAUAUCAGGAGGAACACCGGUGGCGAAGGCGGUUCUCUGGGCAUGACCUGACGCUGAGGAGCGAAAGUGUGGGGAGCGAACAGG